GGACUACCCGGGUAUCUAAUCCUGUUUGAUCCCCACGCUUUCGUGCCUCAGCGUCAGUAAUAGCUUAGUAAGCUGCCUUCGCAAUCGGAGUUCUGUGUAAUAUCUAUGCAUUUCACCGCUACUCUACACAUUCCGCCUACUUCAUUUAUACUCAAGUCUGACAGUUUCAACGGCAAUUUUACAGUUAAGCUGCAAACUUUCACCGCUGACUUACCAAACAGCCUACGCACCCUUUAAACCCAAUAAAUCCGGAUAACGCUCGGAUCCUCCGUAUUACCGCGGCGGCUGGCAC
rnacentral:rRNA from 1 species